GUUGACCUCGGAUCAGGUAGGAAUACCCGCUGAACUUAAGCAUAUCAAUAAGCGGAGGAAAAGAAACCAACAGGGAUUGCCUCAGUAACGGCGAGUGAAGCGGCAACAGCUCAAAUUUGAAAUCUGGCCCCAGGCCCGAGUUGUAAUUUGCAGAGGAUGCUUUUGGUGAGGUGCCUUCCGAGUUCCCUGGAACGGGACGCCAUAGAGGGUGAGAGCCCCGUCUGGUCGGACACCGAGCCUCUGUAAAGCUCCUUCGACGAGUCGAGUAGUUUGGGAAUGCUGCUCUAAAUGGGAGGUAUAUGUCUUCUAAAGCUAAAUACCGGCCAGAGACCGAUAGCGCACAAGUAGAGUGAUCGAAAGAUGAAAAGCACUUUGAAAAGAGAGUUAAAUAGCACGUGAAAUUGUUGAAAGGGAAGCGUUUAUGACCAGACUUGGCCCGGUUGAUCAUCCAGCGUUCUCGCUGGUGCACUCUGCCGGUCCAGGCCAGCAUCAGUUCGUCGCGGGGGACAAAGGCUUCGGGAAUGUGGCUCCUCCGGGAGUGUUAAAGCCCGUUGCGUAAUACCCUGCGGUGGACUGAGGUCCGCGCUUCUGCAAGGAUGCUGGCGUAAUGGUCAUCAACGAC
rnacentral:rRNA from 1 species